GCCCGUAGCUCAAUGGCAGAGCAGGGGACUCAUAAUCCCUCCGAGGCCAAAAACUCGACUCCCGCCCGGGUA
rnacentral:tRNA from 1 species